GCUCUACACUGAAUGACUGCCUGUACUUCAUAUCCCAUCAUGCACUUCAACAUGUGAAAAAUAUAUGGGCCAAUCACAGGAAUGAAGAAAUGCGCAGCAGUAUAUAAACGCAUCCGGACCGUGAACCAGUCUCUUCUCUUCUAGUUCUCCUACUUGGUCGUCAGUUAACGACGAUGUGUGAUGCAAAGAUGAAUGGGACUUGCAGAGAAGACCAUAGGCCGCAGGUUGCAUGCAACAAUGGGGCCCUGGUGUGUUGUCUGGACUCAAAAUGGUGUAUUGAAGCUCUUGGACGAGGAGACAAAAUGGUAAUGGACUAAAUGACUAGCAGGUGAGAUGCCCUGGAAAAUGUGCUUAUCAACAAGCCUGGCUGUGAUUACAAACUUGCCCUCACUGAGAGGUUAAAAAACCUCGAUUAUGAGUUAUUAUUAACUGAGCCACAUCCAUCAAGAGGAACGUCCUUUAUGGUUUUUAACACUGUAAACUGACGGAAUACAUUAAUCUCGCAGGGGCCAGGUGAACUCUGAAGUCUGAUGGCUGUUCCUUGGAGACAUGCUUCGAUAAGAGAAGAGGCAUGAUGCAGAUUGAGCUGGUGGCUGGAUCAGGAUGCUGAUGCAGGAUAUGCUUGGACUUUAAAGGUCCGAAAGCUUACCUGCUUGGAAGGACUUGGACCAAGUAGAGGUGUAAAGUUUUUGAAGAUUCCUGUUAAAACAGGAUGCCUUUUGCUUCAAAUAAAAAAAGAACGUUAAACAAAU
ensembl:lncRNA